AAGGCUAUGUUUGGAUUGGCUUCUUGAAGCCCCAAACUCACGUUUUAUUCCUUUAAACUUAAAAGUGGUCUUAUUUUCUUGUUUGGGUUUUUUCUCCAAAAUCAAUUCUACUCUCCUAGAAGCAAUUCCAAUAGAAGCUACAAUUCCUAGCUUUUGAGGUUAGCAAGAAUCAAUUCUGCAUUUAUGAUAUUUUGGUUCUUACAAUUUUCCUUCAUUGCCCUCUUUAAUUUCUUUUCAACUGUUUCUUCUAUUUUCAAGCUACCAUACUCUCUACUUUCCAAUUUUCUGCUUUGUAUUAAUUCCUUCAUUACUCUCUUUGCUUUGUAUUAAUGAAUUUGGUAAACCAAA
rnacentral:lncRNA from 1 species